GAAAUCCUCCAUCUUGGCGCGGCGGUCAGCCAC
rnacentral:sRNA from 1 species